rnacentral:misc_RNA from 1 species
GGGGUACUCAUCGCCUCCUCCGGCCGCUGGGCACGAGGGCGACGACGCUUGCCGCUGCAUCGGCGAGUGGAAACUGGUGGGUGCUGCAGCGCGCAAGCGAGGAGAAGCCGCCUCCGCGGCUGCCGUCGCGCAGUACGACAACCCUUUGCCGUCGUCGAGCAGCCACCGUAGGUACUCCGGGGGAAUGACGGUGCUAUCUAAUGGGUCCUCGCCGCCUCCUACUGCUCCUCCUCCGGCCACUGUGGGCGACGACGGCCGCUGCUGCAUGAUUGAGUGGGAGUGGUGGAACUGGGAGCAGCAGAGCAGCGUUUAGCGCGGAAGCGAGACGAGGUAGAACGCCAAACGCGUGCUGCACGCUUUCC